AAUCAUAACCAGAGCAUCCUUCAGUGUCCUGUUUCUCUCCAUUCAAGUCAUCAGUCUCAACAGGCAAAGUUCUCAAAUCUGAAGUCAUCCUAUUAAACCCAUCAACAUCAGGUGAAACCACAUCAUUCGUAUUAUCAUCUUUUAUAUCCUGAGGUUCCUUAGCCUGCAACUCUUCACUUCUCACAGAAAUAGUAUCAAAAGAAUCCUUUGGAGAAUCAUAGCUAGAGCAUCCUUGAGAUUCCUGUUUCUCUGUACUCAAGUCAUCAGUCUCAACAGGCACGGUUCUGAUGUCUGAAGUCAUCCUAUUACCCCCAUCAACAUCAGAUGAAACCACUUCGUUCAUAGUACCAUCAACAUCAGAUGAAACCACUUCGUUCGUUGUACCAGCAACAUCAAAUGAAACCACUUCAUUCGUAGUACCAUUUUUUACAUCUUGAGGUUCUUUAGUAGGCGACUCUUCACUUCCCACAGAAAUAUUAUCAAAAGAAUCCUUUUGAGAAUCAUAACC
rnacentral:lncRNA from 1 species